rnacentral:rRNA from 1 species
ACGUAGGGGGCAAGCGUUGGCCGGAUUUAUUGGGCGUAAAGAGCGUGUAGGCGGCCAUACAGGUCAGCUGUGAAAACUCGAGGCUCAACCUCGAGACGUCGGUUGAAACCGUGUGGCUAGAGUCCGGAAGAGGAGAGUGGAAUUCCCGGUGUAGCGGUGAAAUGCGCAGAUAUCGGGAAGAACACCCGUGGCGAAGGCGGCUCUCUGGGACGGUACUGACGCUGAGACGCGAAAGCGUGGGGAGCGAACAGG